ACGGAUGUGGUGAAAUGGUAGACACGUCAUAUUUAGGAUAUGUUGGUUUAUACUAUGUGGGUUCAAAUCCCACCAUCCGUA